UGAGCUGGGGGUGGCCGCAGAGACCAGCGAGAAGCGACUGUUUACUAAAAACACAGGUCCGUGCGAAGCCGUAAGGCGAUGUAUACGGACUGACGCCUGCCCGGUGCUGGAACGUUAAGGGGACCGGUUAGUCGAGAUUCGUCUCGGCGAAGCUGAGAACUUAAGCGCCAGUAAACGGCGGUGGUAACUAUAACCAUCCUAAGGUAGCGAAAUUCCUUGUCGGGUAAGUUCCGACCUGCACGAAUGGCGUAACGACUUCUCGACUGUCUCAACCAUAGGCCCGGUGAAAUUGCACUACGAGUAAAGAUGCUCGUUUCGCGCAGCAGGACGGAAAGACCCCGGGACCUUUACUACAGUUUGAUAUUGGUGUUCGGUUCGGCUUGUGUAGGAUAGCUGGGAGACUUUGAACUCUGGACGCCAGUUCAGGGGGAGUCGUCGUUGAAAUACCAGUCUGGUCGUGCUGGAUGUCUAACCUGGGUCCGUGAUCCGGAUCAGGGACAGUGUCUGAUGGGUAGUUUAACUGGGGCGGUUGCCUCCUAAAGAGUAACGGAGGCGCCCAAAGGUUCCCUCAGCCUGGUUGGCAAUCAGGUGUUGAGUGUAAGUGCACAAGGGAGCUUGACUGUGAGACCGACGGGUCGAGCAGGGACGAAAGUCGGGACUAGUGAUCCGGCGGUGGCUUGUGGAAGCGCCGUCGCUCAACGGAUAAAAGGUACCCCGGGGAUAACAGGCUGAUCUUCCCCAAGAGUCCAUAUCGACGGGAUGGUUUGGCACCUCGAUGUCGGCUCGUCGCAUCCUGGGGCUGGAGUCGGUCCCAAGGGUUGGGCUGUUCGCCCAUUAAAGCGGUACGCGAGCUGGGUUUAGAACGUCGUGAGACAGUUCGGUCCCUAUCCGCUGUGCGCGUAGGAGUCUUGAGAAGGGCUGUCCCUAGUACGAGAGGACCGGGACGGACGAACCUCUGGUGUGCCAGUUGUUCUGCCAAGGGCAUGGCUGGUUGGCUACGUUCGGGAGGGAUAACCGCUGAAAGCAUCUAAGCGGGAAGCCUGCUUCGAGAUGAGGACUCCCACCCACUUGAUGGGGUAAGGCUCCCAGUAGACGACUGGGUUGAUAGGCCGGAUCUGGAAGCACGGUAACGUGUGGAGGUGACCGGUACUAAUAGGCCGAGGGCUUGUCCUC
rnacentral:ncRNA from 1 species